GCGCCCGUAGCUCAGUGGAUAGAGCAACUGGCUACGAACCAGUAGGUCGGAGGUUCGACUCCUUCCGGGCGCACCA
rnacentral:tRNA from 1 species